UAGGUAGUGCCUCGUGUCUCACCUUCGGGGGUAGAGCACUGUCAUGGUUGGGGGGUCUAUUGCAGAUUACCCCGCCAUAGCAAACUCCGAAUACCGAAGAGUGCAAUCACGGGAGACAGACAUCGGGUGCUAACGUCCGGUGUCAAGAGGGAAACAACCCAGACCGCCAGCUAAGGUCCCCAAAUAUGGCUAAGUGGGAAACGAAGUGGGAAGGCUAAAACAGUCAGGAGGUUGGCUUAGAAGCAGCCACCCUUUAAAGAAAGCGUAAUAGCUCACUGAUCGAGUCGUCCUGCGCGGAAGAUGUAACGGGGCUAAGCCAUAUACCGAAGCUGCGGAUGCGAGCUAGUCUCGCAUGGUAGGAGAGCGUUCCGUAAGCCUGCGAAGGUGCAUUGUAAAGUGUGCUGGAGGUAUCGGAAGUGCGAAUGCUGACAUGAGUAGCGAUAAAGGGGGUGAAAGGCCCCCUCGCCGUAAGCCCAAGGUUUCCUACGCAACGUUCAUCGGCGUAGGGUGAGUCGGCCCCUAAGGCGAGGCAGAAAUGCGUAGCUGAUGGGAAGCAGGUCAAUAUUCCUGCACCAUUGUUAAAUGCGAUGGGGGGACGGAUCGCGGAAGGUUGUCCGGGUGUUGGAAGUCCCGGUCGCUGCAUUGGAGAAGGCGCUUAGGCAAAUCCGGGCGCGGAAUUCAAGGGUGUGGCGCGAGCUUCUUCGGAAGCGAAGCAAUCGGAAGUGGUUCCAAGAAAAGCCUCUAAGCUUCAGUUUAACAGUGACCGUACCGCAAACCGACACAGGUGGGCGAGAUGAGUAUUCUAAGGCGCUUGAGAGAACUCGGGAGAAGGAACUCGGCAAAUUGGUACCGUAACUUCGGGAUAAGGUACGCCCCUGUAGCUUGACUGGCCUGCGCCAGAAGGGUGAAGGGGUUGCAAUAAACUGGUGGCUGCGACUGUUUAAUAAAAACACAGCACUCUGCAAACACGAAAGUGGACGUAUAGGGUGUGACGCCUGCCCGGUGCCGGAAGAUUAAAUGAUGGGGUGCAAGCUCUUGAUUGAAGUCCCGGUAAACGGCGGCCGUAACUAUAACGGUCCUAAGGUAGCGAAAUUCCUUGUCGGGUAAGUUCCGACCUGCACGAAUGGCGUAACGAUGGCCACACUGUCUCCUCCCGAGACUCAGCGAAGUUGAAGUGUUUGUGAUGAUGCAAUCUCCCCGCGGCUAGACGGAAAGACCCCAUGAACCUUUACUGUAGCUUUGCAUUGGACUUUGAACCGAUCUGUGUAGGAUAGGUGGGAGGCUAUGAAACCGGAACGCUAGUUUCGGUGGAGCCGUCCUUGAAAUACCACCCUGGUUUGUUUGAGGUUCUAACCUUGGCCCGUGAUCCGGGUCGGGGACAGUGCAUGGUAGGCAGUUUGACUGGGGCGGUCUCCUCCCAAAGUGUAACGGAGGAGUACGAAGGUACGCUAGGUACGGUCGGAAAUCGUGCUGAUAGUGCAAUGGCAUAAGCGUGCUUAACUGCGAGACCGACAAGUCGAGCAGGUGCGAAAGCAGGUCAUAGUGAUCCGGUGGUUCUGUAUGGAAGGGCCAUCGCUCAACGGAUAAAAGGUACUCUGGGGAUAACAGGCUGAUACCGCCCAAGAGUUCAUAUCGACGGCGGUGUUUGGCACCUCGAUGUCGGCUCAUCUCAUCCUGGGGCUGUAGCCGGUCCCAAGGGUAUGGCUGUUCGCCAUUUAAAGAGGUACGUGAGCUGGGUUUAAAACGUCGUGAGACAGUUUGGUCCCUAUCUGCCGUGGGCGUUGGAUAUUUGAAGGGGGCUGCUCCUAGUACGAGAGGACCGGAGUGGACGAACCUCUGGUGUACCGGUUGUCACGCCAGUGGCAUCGCCGGGUAGCUAUGUUCGGAAGAGAUAACCGCUGAAAGCAUCUAAGCGGGAAACUCGCCUUAAGAUGAGAUAUCCCCGGGGACUUGAUCCCCUUGAAGGGUCGUUCGAGACCAGGACGUUGAUAGGUCAGGUGUGUAAGCGCAGUAAUGCGUUCAGCUAACUGAUACUAAUUGCCCGUAAGGCUUGAUCC
rnacentral:rRNA from 1 species